rnacentral:tmRNA from 1 species
GGGGGCGUAAUGGUUUCGACGGGAGCCGCCGCGAUUGGAAGGCAUGCCGGGGGCCACACCACCCGCAAUCGGCGUGGAACAAUACAACUGCCAACACGCAGUUUGCACUCGCUGCCUAAUCAGGCAGCGCGUCUGCUUCGUCCGGCCCGCCGGGCGGGGUAAGAUGCCGAUAUAGCGGGCUUUGCCUGGUGUUUCCCGUCUGAAAGCGCCGGGCAAGACCUUUCCGGGCGACCGGAAGGGAAUCAGGCUAGCUGGCGGCUCGUUCUCUCCUGCCCCUGAGGGCCGUUAGCGAAAUCGGUUAGCGAGCAGGAUAAGCAUGUAGUCUUUCAGUUGCAGAGCUCUUCGGACGGGGGUUCGACUCCCCCCGCCUCCACCA